rnacentral:rRNA from 1 species
AGCGAACGCUGGCGGCAGGCCUAACACAUGCGAGUCGAACGGAUCCUUCGGGAUUAGUGGCGGACGGGUGAGUAACACGUGGGAACGUGCCCUUUGGUUCGGAACAACUCAGGGAAACUUGAGCUAAUACCGGAUGUGCCCUUCGGGGGAAAGAUUUAUCGCCAUUGGAGCGGCCCGCGUCUGAUUAGCUAGUUGGUGAGGUAACGGCCCACCAAGGCGACGAUCAGUAGCUGGUCUGAGAGGAUGAUCAGCCACACUGGGACUGAGACACGGCCCAGACUCCUACGGGAGGCAGCAGUGGGGAAUCUUGCGCAAUGGGCGAAAGCCUGACGCAGCCAUGCCGCGUGAAUGAUGAGGGUCUUAGGAUUGUAAAAUUCUUUCAGCGGGGACGAUAAUGACGGUACCCGCAGAAGAAGCUCCGGCUAACUUCGUG